GAUGAACGCUGGCGGCGUGCCUAAUACAUGCAAGUCGAGCGAACAGACGAGGAGCUUGCUCCUCUGACGUUAGCGGCGGACGGGUGAGUAACACGUGGAUAACCUACCUAUAAGACUGGGAUAACUUCGGGAAACCGGAGCUAAUACCGGAUAAUAUAUUGAACCGCAUGGUUCAAUAGUGAAAGACGGUUUUGCUGUCACUUAUAGAUGGAUCCGCGCCGCAUUAGCUAGUUGGUAAGGUAACGGCUUACCAAGGCAACGAUGCGUAGCCGACCUGAGAGUGUGAUCGGCCACACUGGAACUGAGACACGGUCCAGACUCCUACGGGAGGCAGCAGUAGGGAAUCUUCCGCAAAGGGCGAAAGCCUGACGGAGCAACGCCGCGUGAGUGAUGAAGGUCUUCGGAUCGUAAAACUCUGUUAUUAGGGAAGAACAAAUGUGUAAGUAACUAUGCACGUCUUGACGGUACCUAAUCAGAAAGCCACGGCUAACUACGUG
rnacentral:rRNA from 1 species